GAUGCUAAAGAACUUUGAAAAGAGAGUUAAAGAGUACCUGAAAUUGCUGAAGCGGAAGCAAAGGAAACCAGUGUCUGCUGUGCUAUAUUUCUGUAUCCGCUUGCGGGUGCGGCGCUGUUGCCAGCUUGGUCAGUCUUUGCUGGGAGAUUCAAAUUGGGUUGCAGGCUUCUUCGGAAGGCUGUUUCUUGCUUGAGUCUCUUGGCCGAGCACUGACGAAAUGGUUUUCUUUACCCCGUCUUGAAACACGGACCAAGGAGUUUAACAUAUAUGCGAGUAUUAGGGUGUCAAACCCGGAUGCGCAAUGAAAGUAACAGUGGCUGGAUAAUUUUUGCACAGUCCGCCGGCCUCAAUCCCUCGGGAGAACGGUCUGAGUGUGAGCACAUAUGUUGAGACCCGAAAGAUGGUGAACUAUGCCUGAAUAGGGUGAAGCCAGGGGAAACUCUGGUGGAGGCUCGUAGCGAUUCUGACGUGCAAAUCGAUCGUCAAAUUUGGGUAUAGGGGCGAAAGACUAAUCGAACUAUCUAGUAGCUGGUUCCCUCCGAAAUUUCCCUCAGGAUAGCUGCGAUCG
rnacentral:rRNA from 1 species